AUUUCCUUGAAGUAAUAAUCAUCAUAUUAAUCAUUUUACAGACGCUGUAGUUCUUCUGCCUUAGCGUCUCGGUCUGAUUGUAUUUCCAUGAAGAAAUGAUCAUAAAUGUUCUUCCUUGAGCUGCGGCACCCCGCUGUAGUCCGCAAUGGACUGGCCUGAGGUCUCACUACAAACAAGCGUCUGCUGGAAGAGAGUAGGUGAGUUGUGUUUAGUCUCUUUGCUAAAGAAAUGAGUCAAAGUUAAAAAGAUGUUUGGUGUCUAGUACUAUGGCUGUGACCCUAUAUGUCCUGUUGAUGAAGUUAGGUGCUGUUCUGAGCAUUAUUUGUGGCUAUAGAGUGGCGUUUUGGUUGAG